AAGCAUUCCAUUUUACUUAAUCCAGUUAAAUUUAAGUCUUGCAGCCUACGAAUUUCACUCUAUUUAAACCUCAAUCCAUCAUCUUCAAACUUGGCAUGAACUGACUUUUUCUCAUCUAUUUCCUUACACCAUAUAAUCCACUUCCAUUUCUCACUGCCGACUUCAACGGUGCGGCGCGACUAGGACGUUACUUUUAUUUGAUUUACUCAAGUUAGCAUACAAGUUGAAGUUCAAGUUCAAGUUCAAAAUUCAGUUAUAUCGCUAGGGGCCCGUUCAAUGGGUCCAGGACUUCACCGUCCUUGGUAUGCCACAAUGCGAUUUCAUGUUACAGUUAUGGUUGCAACCAGUCGCCAGGGGCCGGCUCAAUCGGUCCAGGACGGAAAGGUCCUUGGUAUGCCACAGUGCGACUUUCAGUUACGAAUGUAUUGAUCAUAUGUGAUUCUCAUUUUAUUAACGUGGACAAUGAUUGCAUGUUCCCACACUGAGUGUACCCUGUAUGCUCAUCCCAUAUUCAACAUUUUCAGGUUUUUAAAGGCCGGAGGCGCGUGGAAGGUCGAAUGGCGAAUCGAAUAUUUUGAAUUUAGUUUUACUUAAAAAUGUUAUGUUUAGUAAAAUAUUUUAAAAUAAGAUAUUUAUUUCUUUA